rnacentral:piRNA from 1 species
UGCGAGUAUUCGUUGCUGUAG